AGAAGGGCAGUUUGGGCAGAACAGUGAGCAGGGAGCAAUGCACAGAUGGGCACAAUAGGAUUCAAGCAGUCAGGAAAUGUGCAGCAAUGGAAGGCUUAUGGAGGACUGGCCUCCUUGACUAAGACAAAAUGCUAUAUUCCGCAAGUUUUUGCAGUUUAUUCAUUUACUGAUCCAGCUACUAUUUAUUGGAAGGUGACUCUGCACUGAGUACUAGGCAGUGAGCUCCUUCCGGACCAGCCCCUGGUCUUGCUCAUCCUGUGGACACAGCCCAUCUGAGAAGGGCUGUGAUUGUGCUGCUCCCAUCACACUAGCUGCUGCUGGAAUGCUUCACUGCCUCUCUGAGUUCAAGGAUGGGAGUCUCUCUAUGUUGGCCAAGGUUGGUCUUGAACUCCUGGCUUCAAGCAAUCCUCCUGCCUAGGACUUUCAAGCUGCUCUGUGAGAACUGUGCUGCUAUUGCCCUCCUCUGAGAGAUCAGGACGUUGAGAGGUUAAGUAACUUGCCUGUGGUCAUAUAAGUGGUAAGUGGCUCAGCUGGGAUUCCAACACAAUUGACUUCUUGCUUUAGCCAGGCCUAACUCAUGUUUUAAUCCAUUCAAAUGAGUUUAAAAUUUUCUUUUAAUUGUGCUAAAGUAAACAUAACAUAAAAUGUACCAUCCUAAUCAUUUUUGAGUGUACAGUUCAGUAGUGCCAAGCCCAUUCAUAUUGCUGUACAGCCAGUCUCCAGAACUGUUUUCAUCUUUCAAAAGUGAAACUCUGUCCCCAUUAAACAACCACUCCUCUUGCUCCCAGCCCCAGCCCCUGGCAGCCACCGUUCCACUUUCUGUCUUUAUGAAUUUGACUACUCCAGGUUGCUCAUAUAAGUGGAAUCAUAUAGUCUUUUGUGGCUGACUCAUUAUAUUUAGCAUAAUGUCCUCAAGGUUCAUUCGUAUUGUAGCAUGUGUCAGAAGAGUUUUUAAUUUCAUUGACUAUUUUUCCUUGUCAGUCUAUUUGAUUAUUUUCCAGAUGUUUCUAUUUUUUUUUCCUCAUGGUGUUUUCUUUUUUAUCCUUGGUGUUUAUUCUUAAUUUCUUUAAUAUUUAAGAAUAUUCAUCAUACAGCAUGGUGACUGUAGUUAAUGUAUGUAUUGAAUUCUUAAAUUGCUAAGAGAGUAGAUUUCAAGUGUUCUUGCAAAAAAUGAUGCUUGUGAGAUAAUGCGUAUGUUAAUUAGCUCAAUUUAGCCAUUCCACAAUGUAUAUAUAUUUCAAAACAACAUGUUGUAUGCAAUAAAUAUAUAAAAUUUUAUUUGUCAAUUAAAAAAUUAAAAAGGGCUGGAUAUGGUGGCUCAUGCCUGUAAUCCCAACACUUUGGGAGGCUGAGAUGGGAGGACAGUUAGAGACCAGCCUGGGCAACAUAGCAAGACCUCUGUGUUUGUCCCUUUUGUGUUUCUGUAAAGGAAUACCUGAGGCUGGGUAAUUUAUGAAGAAAAGGCCAGGUGCGGUGGCUCACACCUGUAAUCCUAGCACUAUGGGAAGCCGAGGUGGGCGAACCACUUGAGGUCAGGAGUUUGAGACCAGCCUGGCCAACAUGGUGAAACCCCAUCUUUACUAAAAGUACAAAAAUCAGCUGGGUGUGUGGAGUAUGCCUGUAAUCCCAGCUACUCAGGAGGCUGAGACAGUAGAAUCGUUUGAACCCAGGGGGCAGAGAUUGCACCACUGCACUUCAGCCUGGGUGACAGAGUGAAACUCCGUCUUCAGAAAGGAAGGGGAGCUGACAAGUCACACGGUGAGAGAGCAGGGAGACUCCAGACCCUUGAACAAGGAGAUCUCAAGUGAACUCAUUACUACAGGGAGGGCACCGAGCCAUUCGUGAGAUAUCCACUCCCAUGACUAAAUACCUCCUGCUAGGCCCCACUUCCACCACUGGGGAUUGCAUUUCAACAUGAGAUUUGGAGGGGACAAACAUCCAAACGAUAUCAAUCCUGUCUCUGACAAAACAUUUUUUAAAAAGUAGCCGUGUGUGGUGGCACAUGCCUAUAGUCUCAGCUACUUGGGAGGCUGAGGUGGGAGGAUUGCUUGAGCCCGCAAGUUUGAGGUUGCAGUAAGCUAGGAUCACACCACUGAAACAGCCUUUCCAAAAUAUAACUGAGGAAAUUAUGACAGUGAAAGAAAUCAGACCUAACUGACUCUAUCUUGCUUCUAACCCUUAAGCUGUCCUUGUUCAUUCCUGGGCAUAGGCCAAACUAACUUUGGGAAGGAAUUCAGUUCAUGGUUUGACUCUGAAACAAAAUUGGUAACAGCCCUUUCCUGAAAAGACCCCCUUUUUGCCUGGGGUCCAGUCUGCCUUUGCAGGACUAACAAAUUAGCUACAAGAUUAGAAAUUACAAUUUAGGGGUCAUGUAGCCUCCGGCUCCAAGAGUCUGAACCUCUCCAAAUUGCUCUUGGGGAAAACAUCACUAUUGUAAAAUCCAAGAUCAGUGCUUGAGAUAUUUUGCAGAUCCUGCACUCGAUGGAUCAGCAGACACCACCCAGAUCAAUAAUCUGGCUCAACCAGUUCUUCCAUCGCACCCAGGAACAGAAGACAUUAAGAAAACCUCACUUAAACCCCCUGUGGUUCCAUCUCCAACCUGACCAAUCCCCACCUCCCAAGCCCCUACCCGCCAAAUUAUCUUUAAAAACUCUGAUCCCCAGCUGGGCGUGGUGGCUCACACCUAUAAUCCCAGCACUUUGGGAGGCCGAGGCGGGCGGAUCACGAGGUCAGGAGAACGAGACCAUCCUGGUUAACACGGUGAAACCCCAUCUCUACUAAAAACACAAAAAAUUAGCCGGGCGUGAUGUUGGGCGCCUGUAGUCCCAGCUACUCAGGAGGCUGAGGCAGGAGAAUGGCGUGAACCCGGGAGGCGGAGCUUGCAGUGAGCUGAGAUCACGCCACUGCACUCCAUCCAGCCUGGGUGACAGAGUGAGACUCCGUCUCAAAAAAACCAAAAAAACAAAAAAUCAAAACUCUGAUCCCCGAAUUUCCGGGAGACUGAUUUGAGUGAUAAUAAAAUUCCAGUCUUCCACAUAGCCGGCUCUGUGUGAAUUACUCUUUCUCCAUUGCAAUUCCCCUGUCUUGAUAAAUUGGUUCUGUCUCGGCAGCGGUCAAGGUGAAC